GAGGGUGCCUCUUCCUGUUCAGGCGGGGCUCGGCGGUCGUCGUCACCGGCCUAUUAGCUGCCAUCGAUUCCUUUUCCGUUUGUGUUGGUUAGUGGUUAAUUGGGUACACCUGUUUUGUAUUAGGGUUUGUUUGUAGGGUAUUUAAGGGCACUAGGCCCGCUGGGUAUUUUGUGCGGGCUUGUUUUUUGUUACUCUGUGUUUGAUGGUGUGAUUUGUUUUCUUAUCUUUAUUCUCUGGGGCCUGUUGCACAAAAGUAGAAUUAAGACAUCCGGGAUAAAUGACUCAGCUGAGCUCAAUGAAGCCAAAACAUGUGCGUCCAGGCUUAAUUGGUUGCACAAAGACCAAGCCAGGAUGAGCAGACACGGAUUCAUUAAGCCAGGUGAAACCAAUCCUGGAUAGGUGCGCGCUCACGGCUCACUCAAAUAGACCCCGCCACAGAUCACAGAUUAACUGAUUUACCAUGGCAACUAGAGCCGCGUACUUUUCCCCGUCGGAAGCACAAAUCCUCAUGGAGGCAUACGAGGAGGUAAAAGAUAUAAUUAAGAAGAAAGGCAACACCGCCACAGUGAUAAAGCAAAGAGAAAAAGCGUGGCAAAGUAUUGCAGACCGCCUGAAUGCAUUAAACAUGAACGGGCCAAAACGGACAUGGCAGCAGGUCAAAAUCAAAUACAAGAACAUUCUGCAGAAUGCAGUGAAAAAGAAUACCCACAGACAAGGCACGGGUGGUGGGUCACCAAAGGCUGACCUUACCCCAGCAGAGGACAUGGCCUUGGAGCUAAAUAAAGGCAGGCCCGUCUUAGAGGGGAUCCCUGGGGGAAAGAGACGAGCAUAGGUUCCUCCCAAGAUGCCACCCGCUUCAUUCAAGUGUCUGGCAGCACUGUGUUCCUGUUAGAGCCACCAGCACAAGCACCAGACGAUGCUGAUCCAGGUGAAGGCCCCAGUGCAGCAGCAACAGCACAUGAUGGAGACGAUGAUGAUGAGGAGGAGACCAUCUCUCUGGAUUCCAGAAGGCAUGAGGUAUCAUGGUAAGACUGUGAAAGUACUAUUUACUCUACAAUGGUGAGGAGUCCUCAUCAAAAUCAAAAAAUCUAAUUUCUUUUACAGGACCCAGAUGCUAUACAGUGGGAAAACCAGCCUGGCAACAUAGUGCGUAUUAAUAAAAGGACACCACAUCCUGCCAAAUUCCAGCUGCGCUAAUUGUAUUGUGUUCACAGAGCUCACAAGCUAUCAGAAAGUUGUAUGGCAACCACCUCCGGCGCCAAAUAGAACUGGCAGACAUAGACAUUCAGUACAAGAAGAAAAAGAUGGAAAAUCUUGCACUGGAGUCCGAAAUAAAAAGAGGACAAUUAGGAAACUGGACCUUGAAAUAAAAAAACUUGAGAGGGAGCUCCAAGAAGAUGACACAGCUCAAAAUAAAAAUUAGGUAUAUUCUCGUAAAGUCAAGUGAGCCAUGACAUAUGAGCUCUUAUUGUGAGCACACAGGACGGUGGCAUCUUUCUAAGGUUUUUU